rnacentral:tRNA from 1 species
UAGAGAGAUAGGAAUCGAACCUAUAACUAAGAGAUCAAAACCCUCCGUAAUUCCCUUUUACUACCCCCUA